UACGGAGGGUGCAAGCGUUAUCCGGAUUCACUGGGUUUAAAGGGUGCGUAGGAGGGCAGGUAAGUCAGUGGUGAAAUCUCCAAGCUUAACUUGGAAACUGCCGUUGAUACUAUCUGUCUUGAAUACCGUGGAGGUGAGCGGAAUAUGUCAUGUAGCGGUGAAAUGCUUAGAUAUGACAUAGAACACCAAUUGCGAAGGCAGCUCACUACACGCAUAUUGACUCUGAGGCACGAAAGCGUGGGGAUCAAACAGG
rnacentral:rRNA from 1 species